GGGGCUGUAGUUCAGCGGGAGAACGCCACACUGGCAGUGUGGAGGUCAGGGGUUCGAUCCCCCUCAGCUCCA
rnacentral:tRNA from 2 species